AUUGAACGCUGGCGGCAGGCCUAACACAUGCAAGUCGAGCGGAUGAAGGGAGCUUGCUCCUGGAUUCAGCGGCGGACGGGUGAGUAAUGCCUAGGAAUCUGCCUGGUAGUGGGGGAUAACGUCCGGAAACGGGCGCUAAUACCGCAUACGUCCUGAGGGAGAAAGUGGGGGAUCUUCGGACCUCACGCUAUCAGAUGAGCCUAGGUCGGAUUAGCUAGUUGGUGGGGUAAAGGCCUACCAAGGCGACGAUCCGUAACUGGUCUGAGAGGAUGAUCAGUCACACUGGAACUGAGACACGGUCCAGACUCCUACGGGAGGCAGCAGUGGGGAAUAUUGGACAAUGAGCGAAAGCCUGAUCCAGCCAUGCCGCGUGUGUGAAGAAGGUCUUCGGAUUGUAAAGCACUUUAAGUUGGGAGGAAGGGCAGUAAGUUAAUACCUUGCUGUUUUGACGUUACCAACAGAAGAAGCACCGGCUAACUUCGUG
rnacentral:rRNA from 1 species